rnacentral:rRNA from 1 species
UACGUAGGGGGCAAGCGUUGUCCGGAUUUAUUGGGCGUAAAGAGCGUGUAGGCGGCCGCACAGGUCCGUUGUGAAAACUGGAGGCUUAACCUUCAGACGUCGAUGGAAACCGUGCGGCUAGAGUCCGGAAGAGGAGAAUGGAAUUCCUGGUGUAGCGGUGAAAUGCGCAGAUAUCAGGAGGAACACCUAUAGCGAAGGCAGCUUGCUGGGACGACACUGACGCUGAGGCGCGAAAGCGUGGGGAGCGAACAGG